CCCUCUUAGAACAAAUUAUUCCCAGGUAUGGAAUGAUUACUAAGAUAGACACACUUUACAUAAAAAGUUUUACAGCAACUAACUCAAGCCUUAAGAAUAAAAUGAGAACUACAUAGCCCAUGGCACCCAGAGAGUUCAGGACGGGUAGAGAGGAUGAAACAAACUUUAAAGAGAACCUUAACAACUGAAUUAAUAAUUGAAACUCAAAUGUCAUGGGUAAAAUGCCAACCUCUGGCUUUAUUGAGAGUUCAGACACAACCAGGUCAGACGUGAGAGUGUCACCUUAUGAAAUGAUGGUUGGUGUUGAAGAUGAAAGUUUGGUAAGAAAGUUUUGCAGAUAUGUGGGCUUGGCCAAGAGAUCUCUGAGUGUGGAGCCUGAGGAUGGGACAGAAAUGGAAGCAGGUUUUGAUGUAGAGUGGAAGAUGUUUGCUGAAACAUUGAUCACUGAAUGGAUGAGAGGACAAAGGUUGGAGAUGAGCUGGAAGGAGAUUUUUGUGCUUAGGACAGAGGUAUGUGACUGCAAACAAGGACAUGUUUUUCACCGGGUGGGUGGGUCCCAGGAAGAGCAGAAGUAAAUAGAAAACAUGUUUUUGCCAGGAAGAGAGCUAUGGCAGGCAGACAAGGAAUGUUGAUGUGGCAGGAAGAAGAGAGGUCUGAGAGUGUUCCAUUGUGAGCUUGAAUUGUAGCUUGCUUGCUCUUGUGAUUGGAUGGUGGUGACUCUAGGGUUCUAUAAGAUAUGUACAGUACGGUGGUGGUAGUACCUAAGAUAGGCUAUAGGCAAAUGUAAAGGUGUUGUGUAUGGUGCUUGUUGGUUGUUAUGUCUUGGGAUACUCAGCAAAGAAAGGUGUACAAUGCUCUCUUGAACAGAAAGCGGCUUCAGUUAUGCCUACAAGCUGUGGCUGACAGCUGUGGGGCUGGCUCUGGAUACCCACUCCCUGAAAUGCUUUUGUGACUUUUCCUAUGCAAUAAACAGCUUUCAAGAGAGCUGCCUGAAGUCCAGACAUCCUUCCUGAACCCUUUUCCUAUAGUUUGGGUUACCCUUUUUGAACACCCAACAUGAAACUGCUACCUAUGAAUUAGGGGAAUGAGUGUUAAAGAAUAUGUCAACACAAUUGCAAGGACCCUUGAAGAUUUGCAGUUCAAGGGGAUAAUCCCUCAAACCACUCCUUUAGACUUUAAAAUCCGUAACAUCCAUCCAGGGGAGUGGGUGUUAGUAAAAACAUGGAAGGAUCAAUCUUUAGCUGCACAAGGGAAAGGUCCUUUUCAGGUGCUACUGACAACUGAGGCAGCGAUCCAGGCCAAGGAGCGAGGGUGGAUCCACGGCAGCAGAAUCAAAGGACCCGUGCAGGAACCUAAGGAGUGGACUAGAACAUCUAAGCCUGGGGAUACCAAGUUCACAGAAACGACACUCUCACUGCACGAAGUGUCGAACGCCAAAUCUAUUCCCCAAUCCAGGCAGAGCAAAGAACAGCUGAAACAGUAACCCUGCUUUGUGGAUGGGAAUUACUAGUGCCUGUUGAAUGGGAGAUACCUGAGGAACGGUGGGAAGCUACAAUUAAGAAGUGUCAAA